UACGAAGGUGGCGAGCGUUGUUCGGAUUUACUGGGCGUACAGGGAGCGUAGGCGGUUGGAUAAGCCCUCCGUGAAAUCUCCAGGCUUAACCUGGAAAGUGCAGAGGGGACUGUUCAGCUAGAGGAUGGGAGAGGAGCGCGGAAUUCCCGGUGUAGCGGUGAAAUGCGUAGAGAUCGGGAGGAAGGCCGGUGGCGAAGGCGGCGCUCUGGAACAUUUCUGACGCUGAGGCUCGAAAGCGUGGGGAGCAAACAGG
rnacentral:rRNA from 1 species